rnacentral:rRNA from 1 species
UGGGGAAUAUUGCACAAUGGGCGAAAGCCUGAUGCAGCAACGCCGCGUGAGUGAUGAAGGCCUUCGGGUUGUAAAGCUCUGUCUUUUGGGACGAUAAUGACGGUACCAAAGGAGGAAGCCACGGCUAACUACGUGCCAGCAGCCGCGGUAAUACGUAGGUGGCAAGCGUUGUCCGGAUUUACUGGGCGUAAAGGAUGCGUAGGCAGAUUUUUAAGUGAGAUGUGAAAUACCCGGGCUUAACUUGGGUGCUGCAUUUCAAACUGGGAAUCUAGAGUGCGGGAGAGGAGAAUGGAAUUCCUAGUGUAGCGGUGAAAUGCGUAGAGAUUAGGAAGAACACCAGUGGCGAAGGCGAUUCUCUGGACCGUAACUGACGCUGAGGCAUGAAAGCGUGGGUAGCAAACAGGAUUAGAUACCCUGGUAGUCCACGCCGUAAACGAUGAGUACUAGGUGUAGGAGGUAUCGACCCCUUCUGUGCCGCAGUUAACACAAUAAGUACUCCGCCUGGGAAGUACGAUCGCAAGAUUAAAAA